UUUGCAAUGAUGAGCAGCUAACAUGUAAGAAGUUGCCCUUUAUGGGGAUCUUCAAUGAGAUGUUCUUGUUACGCUUGGCUUCUGAGCUAC